rnacentral:rRNA from 1 species
UACGUAGGUGGCAAGCGUUGUCCGGAUUUAUUGGGUUUAAAGGGUGCGUAGGCGGCUCCUUUAAGUCAGUGCUGAAAUAUCCCGGCUUAACCGGGAGGGUGGCAUUGAUACUGAGGAGCUUGAGUACAGAUGAGGUAGGCGGAAUUGACGGUGUAGCGGUGAAAUGCUUAGAUAUCAGGAGGAACACCGAUGGCGAAGGCAGGUCUCUGGGCAUUAACUGACGCUGAGGAGCGAAAGCAUGGGGAGCGAACAGG